UCAGGUGGCCGCAGAGAAUAGGCCCAAGCGACUGUUUACCAAAAACAUAGGUUUCUGCUAAGUCGCAAGACGAUGUAUAGGAGCUGACGCCUGCCCGGUGCUGGAAGGUUAAGGGGAUCUGUUAGAGCAAUCGAAGCAGUGAACUUAAGCCCCAGUAAACGGCGGCCGUAACUAUAACGGUCCUAAGGUAGCGAAAUUCCUUGUCGGGUAAGUUCCGACCCGCACGAAAGGCGUAACGAUUUGGGCACUGUCUCAACAACAGACUCGGUGAAAUUGUAAUUCCGGUGAAGAUGCCGGAUACCUGCGACAGGACGGAAAGACCCCAUGGAGCUUUACUGUAGCUUGACAUUGGGUCUUGGUACUACAUGUACAGGAUAGGUGGGAGGCUUUGAAACCAGGACGCCAGUUUUGGCGGAGCCAUCCUUGGGAUACCACCCUUGUAGUACUGGGACUCUAACCAUAGGCCAUGAAUCUGGUCUUGGGACACUGUCAGGUGGGCAGUUUGACUGGGGCGGUCGCCUCCCAAAAGGUAACGGAGGCGCUCAAAGGUUCUCUCAGUACGGUCGGAAAUCG
rnacentral:rRNA from 1 species